GAAAUGUCAGUUUCUGGGCAGGGCUUAGGUGUCUGCAGUCCCUAGUCCCACCCCUGGCCUUGCAUUCCAGCUCAGCGGGUGGAAGGUAUAAAUUUCAGCUGCUCUCAGCCCUGCUGUGUUUUUCCAAAGCCUUCCAACAGCAACAUGAAGUUGGCAGCCUUCCUCCUCCUGUGAUCCUCAUCAUCUUCAGCCUAGAGGUACAAGAGCUUCAGGCUGCAGGAGACCGGCUUUUGGAUGAAGAGUUAUCUUAAGGAUCAUCUUUCCCUAAGAUCGUCAUCCCUUCCUGGAGUUCCUAUCUUCCAAGAUGUGACUGUCUGGAGUUCCUUGACUAGGAAGAUGGAUGAAAACAGCAAGCCUGUGGAUGGAGACUACAGGGGAUAUGGGAGGCAGGGAAGAGGGGUUGUUUCUUUUAAUAAAUCAUCAUUGUUAAAA
rnacentral:lncRNA from 1 species